UGCAUGUACACUGCAAAAACACUUUUGUUAUUGUGACACAGUUUGCUACCGGCACAAAAUGUUAUCUUGACAAAACGUUUGUCAAUUUCCUGCAAUUAUUGUUAUAACGACAAAUCAUAGUUUAUUUAACUAUUAAUAUAGUUUAUCUAACUAUUAAUAUUUGUUAUUAUAAUGGUAGAUUGUUAUUUGAACACAUGUGUUGUCAUUUUGUCGAAGCGUUGUUGAUCUCACGUUUAGUGGAAGUUACCAUUCAUUGUCAAAUUAACAUUAAUGUGUGACAAUAACAAAUUAUAAAGUUACAGCUAGAACUCUACUAAAAGAUACGUGCAAGUUUGCAUCACUGAUUUCAACCUACUCAACCUAUACUCGAUUACCCUAGCUCGUAAUAAAUUGUCUACACUGAAACAUCUCAGUUGCCCUGAUGCUUAUAUCUUUGCAUGCUCAUGUUCAAUUGUGUAUGUAGCAAUUGGAGACUUGUGACUGGGCAUGGUAAGUUACAGUGGCAGUGAAGAAGUCAGGAGCCUCCAGAGUCCUUCAGUGCAGUGCAGUGCAGGCAGCCUUCUCUCUAUAGCCUCCUUCACAAGGCCUGGCCUGAAGAGCGGCCUGGGAUCGAGCUUCUCUCUAGCCUCUAACUCUAGCUAGUCUCGAGGCCAGGAGAGUUUGGCCUCGAGACUAUAAUUAUAAGGAACUAUAGGUGUGGCAUGAGUGGGCGUUCAGGAAUAACAGGGCGAGGCCUCAAACAUACUUAGCACAUGGUGCUUGCAGCUGCACCAGACUGCAGCUGCUCAUGCAGCUUUAUACCAUCACUGACUGCAUGCCUGUACCCCUGGCCCUGGGCUACCAUGUUCCAUGUACACCAGCUAGGAUCUAGGAGUCAAGAGUCACCUGCAUCUGCAGCUUGAAAGAAAAGACAAUUGCAAAUUUUCUUAAAGAGUAGAUAGUACCACCAUCUCAAAGAAAAAAUUUACAAAUCACUGCUAUACCGUAUCGGCGUAUAACUCCACCAUAUACCAGCUUCAAAGAAAAAGGAUUUAAGUUAUGUUGCUCAUUGCUAAAUAAGUGUGUUUACGUGUUUCUUCCAGCUGCAGAUUUUACCGUACCUCGGCCCCACAAUGUGUACCAGCUAGGAGUCUACUUAACCACCUUCAUCGACUUCAAAGAAACGACUUGCAAGUUAUGUCAGAUUCCAUAAAACUAUAUAGCUAGCUAGAGGGCAACUGUCCCUGGCCUGGUUUCGACCUUCAUCUGUAGCAUACUGAUUUACGAGUUUGUGUCUUCAUACACUGGUUUCGACUGGUCAACUUCGUCCAUGGGGUGAUAGCUAGUAUACUGAUUUACGAGUUUGUGUGUAUGUGUCCUCAUGUGUCAGUUACACUGGUUUCGACUGGUUAACUUCGUCCAUGGGGUGAUAGCUAGCAUUGUAAUUUACCAGUUUGUGUGUAUGUGUCCUCAUGUGUCAGUUACACUGGUUUCGACUGGUCAACUUUGUCCAUGGGGUGAUAGCUAGCAUUGUAAUUUACCAGUUUGUGUGUAUGUGUCCUCAUGCGUCAGUUACACUGGUUUCGACUGGUCAACUUUGUCCAUGGGGUGAUAGCUAGCAUUGUAAUUUACCAGUUUGUGUGUAUGUGUCCUCAUGUGUCAGUUACACUGGUUUCGACUGGUCAACUUCGUCCAUGGGGUGAUAGCUAGCAUUGUAAUUUUCCAGUUUGUGUGUAUGUGUCCUCACGUGUCAGUUACACUGGUUUCGACUGGUCAACUUCGUCCAUGGGGUGAUAGCUAGCAUUGUAAUUUACCAGUUUGUGUGUAUGUGUCCUCACGUGUCAGUUACACUGGUUUCGACUGGUCAACUUCGUCCAUGGGGUGAUAGCUAGCAUUGUAAUUUUCCAGUUUGUGUGUAUGUGUCCUCACGUGUCAGUUACACUGGUUUCGACUGGUCAACUUCGUCCAUGGGGUGAUAGCUAGCAUUGUAAUUUACCAGUUUGUGUGUAUGUGUCCUCACGUGUCAGUUACACUGGUCAACUUCGUCCAUGGGGGUGAUAGCUUAUACUAUUUACAUUUUGCACUACAUAUGUGUUGGUAACUAUAGUGACUUCAAUCUUUUGUUCUGUAGGGGCGAAAAUGAUCUGAGGGAUGUAGCGUUCAUGAAACCAAACGAAACGCCUGCAGUUCACUGUACUGGAAUUUCAAGAAACGCUAAGUGAUGAACACUAAAAACAAUUUACUGACAGAAGAAAUUAUUGUGCUGCAUGUCAUGUGAUCCAGUGAUCUUAUUCUAUCAUAAACUCAUUGUUCUAA